AACGAGACCUUAACCUGCUAAAUAGUCCGGCCGGCUUUUGCUGGUCGCAGACUUCUUAGAGGGACUGUCAGCGUCUAGCUGACGGAAGUUUGAGGCAAUAACAGGUCUGUGAUGCCCUUAGAUGUUCUGGGCCGCACGCGCGCUACACUGACAGAGCCAGCGAGUUCUCACCUUGGCCGGAAGGUCUUGGUAAUCUUGUGAAACUCU
rnacentral:rRNA from 1 species